UUUUUNCUUCUAAAAAAUUAUCCUUUNNGUGAAGAGACUUAAAUAAAAUAAAAAGACAAAAAGACCCUAUUGAGCUUUAUUUCAUAAGUUAAACUUCUAUAGCCCAUGCAAAAGAACCUUACCUAUAGAAAUUUUGUUGGGGCGACAAGAGAAGACCUAAAUCUUCUCUAUACUACAAGAAUAUUCCUCUACUAAUGAUCCGUAAUUAACGAUUAACAGAACCAGCUACCAUAGGGAUAACAGGCUAAUCUUCUUUGAGAGCCCAAAUUGACAAGAAGGAUUGGCACCUCGAUGUUGGCUUAGGAUACCUGAUAGAUGCAGAA
rnacentral:rRNA from 1 species